CCUGCAUCCAACAUGCCAACGGCUCCCACAUAACUUGAGGCAUCUGAGGCUUUAUGACUUCUGACAUAAGGUGACAUUUUGGGGCCUUUUAUUGUCCAGGUCAAGGAUUGUCCAGCUGUUGCUCAUUUUGUCUGACCACCCAGAGGACAUGUCCCGCAAUGUCCUCAAUGUCCUCGCGUCCGCGAGGAGUUUGAUGGCCCCAUUAAGAAACCCCGUUUUUAAACGCUGCGGUUUGUUCCAGCAGCAGCAUUUGUAAAGCUACUCUAAGACAAACAUGUUGAGUCACAAUUAUUGUAUUUAAGUUGAAUCUGUUGCAUCAUUUUAUCCAUUUAAUUGAUUAGUUUUAUAAUUAAGUCGAUACUUUUUUUCUUUUUUUACUUUGUAUUGCCAUUACAAAGUAAACAGGUACUGCCACCUGGCGGCAUGGACCACAGACUUCCUCACUAAUAGACCACAGGAUGAGAGGCUCUGCGUCUCACGUGGUAGACUGCAGCAUGGGGAAUCCACAGGGUUCAGUGCUCUCUCCUUUCCUUUUCACACUUUACACAUCAGACUUCAGCAACAACUUGGAUAUCUGCCACCUCCAGAAGUUCUCAGAUGACGCAGCCAUUGCUGGACGCGUGUCAGGAGAGGUUAUCUCCAUCUUUGCUGCUUGGUGUGAACUGAACCAUCUGUACAUCGAUGUCAGCAAGACAAGGAGGUGGUGGCUGAUUUCAGGAGGAGGGCUUCUCAGAUUGUACCAGACAUUACUGAGGACUUUCUGUGACUCUGGUGGCUUCAGUGAUCCUCUAUGCUUGUGGAAGCUGGCUCAGUCUGAACUGUUCUCUGGACUCCAUUGAGGCGGCGGGUGAGAAAAAGACUUUAGCUAAACUGAAGGCAGUUAUGAUUGACUCUUCUCAUCCUGUAUGAGGCUGUGGGGCCUUCAGCAGCAGAUUGAUCCACCAACGGUGCAGGAAAGAAAGAUGCAGCAGGUCAUUCAUACCAUCUGCAGUCAGACUGAAUGACAUCUGCAACCAGCACUAAUAAAGUGUUAAAACAUCUGUA